AAUAGCUGGAUUGUUGCUAUAAAAGCUGCAAAAUCCUUACACUGUAAAAUAAUUAAAUCCCAACGUAACAUUGACUUUGUGUAAAACACUUAGCUCAGAGUUUGGUUAAGAGCAAAUGUUCAGUACCUGGUAGCUGUUUAUAUUAUGGCUAUUACUUUUGCAACUAAAAUUAGAAGCAUUCUGCAAUUCUCCACAGCCAGUAUUUAUAUGCCAAGGUCACCUUGCUCAAUUCGAUGGGCAUUUCGGGGACAGUAUCGUGGGACUCUGGGAGUGGAUUAAGGCUACUCAGGAUGGAGGCAGACUUCAGAGAAGGUGGCGAGGAAAAUGACAAAAACCAAAACUUUGUCCAUUACAGCAUUAUUUACAAUAGCUGAGAUGCAGAACCAACCAACCUAAGUGCCUAUCCACAGGUAAAUGGAUAAAGAAGAUAUGAUUUCUCUCUCUCCCUCCCUCUCUCUCUCUCCAGAUAUAAAUAUAUAAAUAUAUAUACACAUAAUAAUAUUCAGCCAUGAGAAAGAAGGAAAAUACUUCCAUUUGUAACAACGUGGUUGGACAGAGGGCAUUAUUCUAAGUGAAAUAAGUCAGAGAAAAACAAAUACGAUAUGACAUCACUUCUAUAUGGAAUCUAAAAAAGCCAAACUCAUAGAAACAGAGAGGAGAGCCCCUGUGAUUACCAGGGGCUGGGGGCUGGGGGAAAUUGGGAAGAUGUUGGUCAAAGGGUAUAAACUUCCAAUUAAAAGGACAAGUAAGUUCUGGGGGCCUAAUGUACAGCAUGGUGAGUAUAGUUAAUCAUACGGUAUCAUAUACUGAAAAGGUGUUAAGCAUGUAGAUCUUAAAUGUUCUCACCACAAAAACGAAAUGGUAAUUGUGUGAUGUGAUGAAGGUGUUAGCUAACACUACAGUGGCAAUCGUUUUGCAAUAGAUCAGUGUAUCAGAUCAACAUGUUAUAAGCCUUAAACUUACACAAUGUUAUAACACCCUAUCAAUUAUAUGUCAAUAGAGCUGGGGGUGAAAAAAAAAAAAAGACUACAAAGUGCCUGUGAAGAGACUAAUGAAUAAACCUGAAAAGCAUGCAUCCGUACGUGUGUGUUUAUAUUCAGAAAAUCUAUUUCGAGCUUAUCCGUAAUCAUAUUUAAUUGCAUCUUUAAUUUCUAAAUUGCCAGAUUAAGAAACAAGCUCCCUUCUCAUUGUAUUUGAGAAUUUAACAUAGCAAGCGCUUGUCAGAAAGGAGGCCAUUGUGUGGCUGGGCAUGCCACCUGGAGGGGCAGUUUCAGACAGAGCCCUCCCCAUCUCCUUCCCAGCCCUCCCUCCCCUGCCCUCCCCUUCUCACCCCUGCUCUAGUUAAAGGCUGAUUCAUCUGACCUGGAGGCGAUGGUAUCACUG
rnacentral:lncRNA from 1 species